AAAAGGUGGCUAUGCUACCGCUUUUGGAUGGGCCCGCGGCGCAUUAGCUAGUUGGUGGGGUAAAGGCUUACCAGGGCAAUGAUGCGUAGCCGAACUGAGAGGUUGAUCGGCCACAUUGGGACUGAGACACGGCCCAAACUCCUACGGGAGGCAGCAGUAGGGAAUCUUCCACAAUGGGCGAAAGCCUGAUGGAGCAACGCCGCGUGGGUGAAGAAGGUCUUCGGAUCGUAAAACCCUGUUGUUAGAGAAGAAAGUGCGUGAGAGUAACUGUUCACGUUUCGACGGUAUCUAACCAGAAAGCCACGGCUAACUACGUGCCAGCAGCCGCGGUAAUACGUAGGUGGCAAGCGUUAUCCGGAUUUAUUGGGCGUAAAGGGAACGCAGGCGGUCUUUUAAGUCUGAUGUGAAAGCCUUCGGCUUAACCGGAGUAGUGCAUUGGAAACUGGGAGACUUGAGUGCAGAAGAGGAGAGUGGAACUCCAUGUGUAGCGGUGAAAUGCGUAGAUAUAUGGAAGAACACCAGUGGCGAAAGCGGCUCUCUGGUCUGUAACUGACGCUGAGGUUCGAAAGCGUGGGUAGCAAACAGGAUUAGAUACCCUGGUAGUCCACGCCGUAAACGAUGAAUGCUAAGUGUUGGAGGGUUUCCGCCCUUCA
rnacentral:rRNA from 1 species